rnacentral:rRNA from 1 species
GAUGGACGCUAGCGGCAGGCUUAAUACAUGCAAGUCGUGGGGCAGCAGGUCUGUAGCAAUACAGAUGCUGGCGACCGGCAAACGGGUGCGGAACACGUACACAACUUUCCUUUAAGUGGGGAAUAGCCCAGAGAAAUUUGGAUUAAUACCCCGUAACAUAGUGAAAAAGCAUCUUUUUAUUAUUAUAGCAGCAAUGCGCUUAAUGAUGGGUGUGCGUCUGAUUAGGUAGUUGGCGGAGUAAUAGCCCACCAAGCCUACGAUCAGUAACUGGUGUGAGAGCACGACCAGUCACACGGGCACUGAGACACGGGCCCGACUCCUACGGGAGGCAGCAGUAGGGAAUCUUCCGCAAUGGACGAAAGUCUGACGGAGCGACACCGCGUGGAGGACGAAGGCCUUCGGGUUGUAAACUCCUUUUCCAGGGGAAGAAUAAGGGUAAGAGGAAAUGCUUAUCCGAUGACGGUACUCUGGGAAUAAGCCACGGCUAACUCUGUGCCAGCCGCCCAGUAACAC